rnacentral:ncRNA from 16 species
GCUGAUUUAGCUCAGUAGGUAGAGCACCUCACUUGUAAUGAGGAUGUCGGCGGUUCGAUUCCGUCAAUCAGCA